rnacentral:rRNA from 1 species
UACGUAGGGGGCAAGCGUUGUCCGGAUUUACUGGGCGUAAAGCGUGCGUAGGCGGUUGUUUAAGUGAGAUGUGAAAUCCCCGAGCUCAACUUGGGUGCUGCAUUUCAAACUGGAUAUCUAGAGUGCAGGAGAGGAAAGCGGAAUUCCUAGUGUAGCGGUGAAAUGCGUAGAGAUUAGGAAGAACACCAGUGGCGAAGGCGGCUUUCUGGACUGUAACUGACGCUGAGGCAUGAAAGCGUGGGGAGCAAACAGG